rnacentral:misc_RNA from 1 species
GGGGAGCUAAAAUGCGCAGCCAAAAAAGUUGCAGAAAUUAGAGAGCAAUGGAUUAUCCCAUGUGUAUACAUAUUUUCUAUCAUUUUCUUUUUCUCUCUGUUUCUCAAGAAGCUUUUGCAAUCGUGAUGGGAGGGGAAAGGGAAAAAAAAUAUCAGAAGGAAGGCUAUUACCAUAUAGCAAUUUGAUGUUAAUCCCUUCCUUCCUUUGUUCGCAACUCCAGGGAAUGUUGCGGUGUCAUUUUCCACCCAACGCACAUAUAACAGAGUUUCUGCAAUGCCUGUUUGGUUGUUCUUUCUGGGAAAAUUUCAAGCAUACUUCUCUCAAGUUAAUUUUGAGCAAACAGAACACUGCGGCAAUUAUUCCUCUUUUAAUGGAUGCAUUAAGUAGCCAAAUUGGCAGAAAGCACAUCAAUGCCACACCCUUUUUCUUUUCAGUGGUAAUAACUACUGGUUUGAUAGACAAUCGAAAAGUAACACAUUCCAGAGGCUAGCAAUUUACCAUUUGUUUGACUCUUUGGUCUUUCUAUGUGUCCCAUAUCUCAUUAUACAUUAAAAAAAAUACUAAUAACAAUACUUUUUCCACUCAUUUUAUACUGUAUUAAUAAUUUUUUUACUAAUAUUCUC